ensembl:misc_RNA Metazoa_SRP Metazoan signal recognition particle RNA
GCUGGGCAUAUUGGCAUGUGCUUGUAGUCCCAGCUACUCAGGAGGCUGAGGUGGGAGGAUCACUUGAGCCCAGGAGGUUGAGGCUGCAGUGAGCUGUGAUUAUGCCACUGCACUCCAGCUUGGGUGACAGAGUGAGACCCUAUCUCCA